GCCCCGCUGGUGUAGUGGCAACACGCCUCAUCUACGUACUAUCGACAUGAUGCCACAGUUAACUUGGGAGAGGCUCGUUCGAUUCGAGCGUGGGGCA